rnacentral:lncRNA from 1 species
AGUAACCCUAUUUGCAUAAUAUAAACAGAAGUUUUUGCUUGAACUUGCUGAGACAAGAGAAGUUUCAUGGAAACUGCAAAUGCUGAGUAAAUACCGGUGAUUUUUUUUCUUUCUUUAUCCUGCAGGGUUUAGGGGAGGGGAGAGAAAUACACAAUUUAAAGCUAUUAAACAACUACAUCUGUACAUACUCACUGGUUUACAAACCUGGGAAAAAAGCUCACCCCUCAUAUUUGUAACACUAAAGAUAAUACUCAUUUAAAGUUGCAGAUGAUUAAUCAUAUCAGUGCUCACACAGAAGUCACAUCCAUAGGGAAACAGCCUGCAGCCUGUUUAGCAUCAACUCCUGCAUUGUGGUAGUUUGUUUUCUGGUUGUUUUGGGGUUUUUUAAACAUAGCAUUAUUUUAAUCAGUAAGUCAAGUUAAACAAAAUAUAACUGCUGCUUUUAGGAUAGUUUUUUUUUUUUAAAGGUGAAACUGUGACACUGUAAUGGACUAAAGAGAACAGAAGGUUAAUCUACACUGGCUUUCAAAAAAAUGGAAGUGCAAACAUAUCUGUUGUUAUUUUUUGUCUUAUUCCUUUGGAUGGUUGUGUGUUUUCCUUUGGUGAUGUUUGUCACUGUGCCAUUUAUUUCUCUUAUUCUUGGAGUACCAAAGAUCCUGAAAUGGCUUGAUGAUUGCAACCAUGUUGAAAAUUUAUUUUCUGGAAGUAUGUUUUGUUAACUUCUGUUAAAAACGUGGAAUUGUGUAUGCAAAUUGUAAUCAGAGGUUUGCUGGGAAGUUAACCUGUUCCAGCAGGGAAAACUUGAGUGCGUCGAUGGAAGUGGUGAGCCUGAAUCCAAAUUCUGGAUCUGAAUACCCAGAAACUGGGGAGGAAGCUUGGAUUGGGAAACACAGCUGAGCUUUUGCACUUUGUUCCAUCUCCUAUCAGCGUGAGUGAGUGGCCUUAGCUCCAGGACAUCAGCAGAGGUUGUUUCAUGUGCAAAAGGAGUUUAAAAAAUUGCCAGCAUUCAGAAAUCAAAUAUUGUUGAUACUGCAUUUGCACUGUUAAAUUUGCCUUGCUGGAGAGUUAUAUAAGUGUUAUUUUUAUAGGUCAAUUGUUAAAACACCUGUGCCGUUGGAUACAGUAUGGAAUAAUAGCAUCUGACAUGGGUGAAUUCACCUAAGUGCAAAGGGGCUUGCUGAAAGCUCUCCACACUAAGAAAAAUGGGCAGAAGCAGUACAAAGGGUGUUGCGUCGGCUCCUUCUAAAGAGGUGACUUUCCUCCUGUGCAGCAGCAAGUAGGGAAUACUGCAGUUUAGCCCGGUUAUACUCUAAUGCUUAGGAAGUGCUCUCACUUUUUCAAUAAUACGAGCAAUUACAAGCAUUGUAACAUACUGUACCUUGUCCUUUUAAUGUUGAUAUCUUACAGCAGCUCGUUCUUGGAGUCGAAAUGGCAACUGCUAUAUUUUUCCUAGACUGUUUCAUUAGUUGUGGUUGGGAAAGUUACAUAGAAGCAUUAUAAAAAUUUAUAUGAGGCUUUUUACAGCAUUUGAAAAUAAAAGUAGCAUUCUUUUUGUAAA